GCGGUGGAGCAGUUGUUGGUUUAACUCGAUGCAACGCGAAGAACCUUACCUGGCUUGAACUGCUGGUGGUAGAAGCCCGAAAGGGUAACGACCCGGAGCAAUCCGGGAGCCAGUAGAGGUGCUGCAUGGCUGUCGUCAGCUCGUGUCGUGAGAUGUUGGGUUAAGUCCCGCAACGAGCGCAACCCUUACCCUUAGUUGCCAGCGGGUAAUGCCGGGCACUCUAAGGGGACCGCCCCGGAUAACGGGGAGGAAGGCGGGGAUGACGUCAAGUCAGCAUGGCCUUUAUGUCCAGGGCUACACACGUGCUACAAUGGGCGAUACAGAGGGAAGCAAGGCCGCAAGGUAGAGCUAAUCCCUAAAGUCGUCCUCAGUUCGGAUUGCAGGCUGCAACUCGCCUGCAUGAAGUCGGAAUCGCUAGUAAUCGCGGAUCAGCUACGCCGCGGUGAAUACGUUCUCGGGCCUU
rnacentral:rRNA from 1 species